rnacentral:rRNA from 1 species
GACGAACGCUGGCGGCGUGCCUAAUACAUGCAAGUCGAACGCUGAAGCGCUGCGCUUACUCUUCUUGGAUGAGUUGCGAACGGGUGAGUAACGCGUAUGUACCCUGCCUUGUAGCGGGGGAUAACUAUUGGAAACGAUAGCUAAUACCGCAUAACAUUGGAUUACACAUGUCGUUUAGUUGAAAGUCGCAAUUGCUCCACUACAUGAUGGACCUGCGUUGUAUUAGCUAGUAGGUGAGGUACUGGCUCACCUAGGCGACGAUACAUUGCCGACCUGAGCGGGUGGGCGGCCACCCUGGGAGUGUGACCCGGCCCAGACUCCCUCGGGAGGCGGCCGGAGGGAAACUUGGGGAAUGGGGGGAACACUGACCGAGCAACGCCGCGUGAGUGAGGAAGGAUUUCGGAUCCGAAAGCUCGGUUGUAAGUCAAGAACGGGUGUGAGAGUGGAAAGAUCACACUGUGACGGUAGCUUACCAGAAAGCGACGGCUAACUACGUG